CGAUGAUGAUCCAUCUCUCCUUGAGUCCGUGUUGCUGACUGGUGACGACCCGAUCUUCUGACG
rnacentral:snoRNA from 1 species